rnacentral:rRNA from 1 species
CCUACGGGAGGCAGCAGUGGGGAAUAUUGGGCAAUGGAGGCAACUCUGACCCAGCAACGCCGCGUGAAUGAUGAAGGUCUUCGGAUUGUAAAGUUCUGUGAUGGGGGAUGAACACAAUGACGGUACCCCAAUAGCAAGCCACGGCUAACUACGUGCCAGCAGCCGCGGUAAUACGUAGGAUGCGAGCGUUAUCCGGAUUUAUUGGGUUUAAAGGGUGCGCAGGCGGGAGAUCAAGUCAGCGGUAAAAUGCCGGGGCGUAACCCCGGAACUGCUUUGGAAACUGUGCAGCUAGAGUGCAGGAGAGGUAAGUGGAAUUCCUAGUGUAGCGGUGAAAUGCGUAGAUAUUAGGAGGAACACCAGUGGCGAAGGCGGCUUACUGGACUGUAACUGACGUUGAGGCUCGAAAGCGUGGGGAGCAAACAGGAUUAGAUACCCCUGUAGUC